AUUGAACGCUGGCGGCAGGCCUAACACAUGCAAGUCGAACGGUAACAGGAAGCAGCUUGCUGCUUUGCUGACGAGUGUCGGACGGGUGAGUAAUGUCUGGGAAACUUCCCGAUGGAGGGGGUUAACUACUGGAAACGGUAGCUAAUACCGCAUAACGUCGCAAGACCAAAGUGGGGGACCUUAUGUCCUCUUGCCAUCGUUUUUGCCCAGAUGGGAUUAGCUAGUAGGUGGGGUAACGGCUCACCUAGGCCACGAUCCCUAUCUGUUCUGAGAGGAUGACCAGCCACACUGGAACUGAGACACGGUCCAGACUCCUACGGGAGGCAGCAGUGGGGAAUAUUGCACAAUGGGCGAAAGCAUGAUGCAGCAAGGCCGAGUGUAUGAAGAAGGCCUUCGGGUUGUAAAGUACGUUCAGCGGGGAGGAAGGGAGUAAAGUUAAUACCUUUGCUGAUUGACGUUACCGGCAGAAGAAGCACCGGCUAACUACGUG
rnacentral:rRNA from 1 species